GAUGAACGCUGGCGGCGUGCCUAAUACAUGCAAGUCGAGCGAACAGACGAGGAGCUUGCUCCUCUGACGUUAGCGGCGGACGGGUGAGUAACACGUGGAUAACCUACCUAUAAGACUGGGAUAACUUCGGGAAACCGGAGCUAAUACCGGAUAAUAUAUUGAACCGCAUGGUUCAAUAGUGAAAGACGGUGUUGCUGUCACUUAUAGAUGGAUCCGCGCCGCAUUAGCUAGUUGGUAAGGUAACGGCUUACCAAGGCGACGAUGCGUAGCCGACCUGAGAGGGGGAUCGGCCACACUGGAACUGAGACACGGUCCAGACGCCUACGGGAGGCAGCAGUAGGGAAUCUUCCGCAAUGGGCGAAAGCCUGACGGAGCAACGCCGCGUGAGUGAUGAAGGUCUUCGGAUCGUAAAACUCUGUUAUUAGGGAAGAACAAAUGUGUAAGUAACUAUGCACGUCUUGACGGUACCUAAUCAGAAAGCCACGGCUAACUACGUG
rnacentral:rRNA from 1 species